rnacentral:rRNA from 1 species
ACUCCUACGGGAGGCAGCAGUCGAGAAUUUUUCACAAUGGGCGCAAGCCUGAUGGAGCGACGCCGCGUGGGGGAUGAAUGGCUUCGGCCCGUAAACCCCUGUCAUUCGCGAUCAAACGUUAUUAUUUAAAAGAUGAUGACCUGAUAGUAGCGGAAGAGGAAGGGACGGCUAACUCUGUGCCAGCAGCCGCGGUAAU